AUGACGCUGGCGGAAUGCUUUACACACGCAAGUUUAACGGCAGCACGGACUUCGGUCUGGUGGCGAGUGGCGAACGGGUGAGUAAUACAUCGGAACGUGCCCAGUCGUGGGGGAUAACGUAGCGAAAGCUACGCUAAUACCGCAUACGAUCUAAGUGAUGAAAGCGGGGGAUCGCAAGACCUCGCGCGAUUGGAGCGGCCGAUGGCAGAUUAGGUAGUUGGUAGGGUAAAGGCCUACCAAGCCGACGAUCUGUAGCUGGUCUGAGAGGACGACCAGCCACACUGGGACUGAGACACGGCCCAGACUCCUACGGGAGGCAGCAGUGGGGAAUUUUGGACAAUGGGCGAAAGCCUGAUCCAGCCAUUCCGCAGUGCAGGAUGAAGGCCCUCGGGUUGUAAACUGACUUUACGUACGGAACGAAAAGGUCCUGGUUAAUACCUGGGGCUCAUGACGGUACCGUAAGAAUAAGCAACGGCUAACUACGUGCCAGCAGACCGACGGAUAAUACGUAGGGUGCAAGCGUCAACUCGGAAUUACUGGGCGUAAAGCGUGCGCAGGCGGAGAUGUAAGACAGAAGGUGACAUCCCCCGGGCAUCAAACUGGGAACUGACUUUGUGACUGCCAUCGACUGGAGUCACGGCCAGACGGGGAUGGAAAUUCAGAGUGUAACAGAUGAACAUGCGUAAAUAUGCGGAGCGAACACCAGAUUGCAGAAAGCAACACCACCGAGCACUUCAUAAUAGGAACCUUCAUGAAACAACA
rnacentral:rRNA from 1 species